CUUUCGAUGAUGGUUUCGUAUUGAUUACUCGAAAACUUCUCGGAAUGCGAUUUCAAUAAGCGACCACUCUAGGAAUCAUAAACUAACGGAUAUGAAACAAUUUAGUAGGGAUGAAUCGCAUCGCGGAAUCGCUCGUGGGGAUCAAACCGUAGCGUUUUACGCGCGAGAACGCAGAGUCGCGUGCGUCCAAGAGUCAACGUUUCGUCGAGUAGUUCGUUUCCGGUAUACACAGAAUCAAUUUCCGUUGAGUAAAUAGCUCCUGGAUACUUCGAAUCUGUUAUAAACGCACGCACCUGUAUUGUUUCCUUCGUCAACGUACUGAAUGAUACAUCCUAGUCGAAUCUGCGAAAGAAAAUAAAUUUUUAUGAAUCAGAAACAGUGAUCUUGUUAGAUUGAAAGAACAUAUUCGAUACAAAUAAGGAUAAGUAAUAUAAUAGAAUUGUCACGUUUUUAUUUUGAAAUCAAAGUUGUCGAAACGUGUGGUUUCUGAAACGACGUCUUUGUUUGUUCGGAUACUGGACACCAAAGGAAUCACCGUCACCAGAACUGGAUGCCAUAAUACUUUCUCUUUGCUCCUUCCCUCGAAAGCUCGAGUUGUUUUUAUCUAAAGUAAAAAUAUUCUCAAGAGUUGACGAUUGCGAAAAACAAUAGAAGCGGUCAUCUUCGUCGUCGUAAAAGUGCAAUGGGUGUUUGUGCAAGGAAAUCCGAUUUUCAUUCAAGUAUUCCUUUUUAUGGAUGGCAAGGAUGGAGUUUUCUAACUUUUAUCGCUAUCAUUGUUUUAAUCGCCAUUAUUUACAACAAUUAUUUGCGCAAAUCAUCCUAGAUUUAAUGGAAUCCGCCUAAAAACAGAUGGAGACUUGCAUAUUUCAAAGAAUAAUAAGGGGUCUAAUUACUUGAAUGCAAACUAUCUUAGUCAGGAAAUGAUAAAUUUACUCAUCAAGCAACAAAUUUUAUAACAGAAUGUAUGCCAUCAUCUAUAGACCAACUUGAUUAAGUACACUGCUUCAAAAAUCAAAGUACUGUUAAAUAAACCUAUAUGAAUUCGAUUAUAAUGGGAAUAAUGUAAUUAAACUAACCAAACGUGGAGAUCUCGGAAAUGGACGUUGGUAAAGGUACUUGGACGUUUCCACACAAAUACGGGCUCAUAAUAUAUUUUUCUUUCCCUUCGAUAAUCCUAACGGCAGAUAAUCUGAUUUUUCGUAUGGAAAAUAAUUCAGAAAAAAACCAUGAAUAUUUAAUGAAUCCUUUAAUAUAGGAAUUACAGGGAUAUGUUUGAACAGUAAAAAUAAUAGACGCUAUCAUUGUAGAAAUAAGAUUAAACAUAUGUAAUAAAUGCUAUUAACAUUUAUAAACGCUGUUAUUAUAUUGGAGAAAUUAUUCUCUCUUGAAUCUGUAUAAUGUACACUUUUCGAAUAAAUUAAUUAU